UCGAGAAUUUUUCACAAUGGGCGCAAGCCUGAUGGAGCGACGCCGCGUGGGGGAUGAAUGGCUUCGGCCCGUAAACCCCUGUCAUUUGCGAUCAAACCUUGCUAUUUAAAAGAUGGCGAGCUGAUAGUAGCGAAAGAGGAAGGGACGGCUAACUCUGUGCCAGCAGCCGCGGUAAUACAGAGGUCCCAAGCGUUGUUCGGAUUCACUGGGCGUAAAGGGUGCGUAGGUGGUGGGGUAAGUCGGAUGUGAAAUCUCGGAGCUCAACUCCGAAAUGGCAUUCGAAACUACCCUGCUAGAGGGUCGGAGGGGGGACUGGAAUUCUCGGUGUAGCAGUGAAAUGCGUAGAUAUCGAGAGGAACACCAGUGGCGAAGGCGAGUCCCUGGACGACUCCUGACACUGAGGCACGAAAGCUAGGGGAGCAAACA
rnacentral:rRNA from 1 species